UCCAUGGUCGUGGCGCCUCGGUCUCCUGGGAAGAAGAGACGUGGAAGAGAGAGGAGGUGAGAUGGGGAGAAGAGAAGGCAGAGUAAGGACGGCGCAGAUUCCGGCGGUGGCUCCGGUUGGCGGAUCUAGGUAUGUGUCCCGAUUCCUCUCCUCUCCGUAAAAAACGUAUGUCGUGUCGUUGCUAACUGCUAGAGAUGCCCUUAAUAAGUUCAUCAUGUGGCCAACAACAACCUCCAGGUCGCGUGAGAGUUCUGUGGCAUGGGCAUGCUCUCCCCUAAUUGAUUUUGUAUCAAAGAUUUUGUUCUAGCAUGUGGGUAGAACCCAUGAGUGUUGGAAGUACAUGUUCUAUAUACAUAACAGCUUCUUUGGUUACUUACUCAUCUAAUGGUCAGAUACAAUUUUAGCAACAAUGAAUAGCUGCAUGAUAGUUUUGUUAUCUACUUCUGAAUGAUCAUAAUGUGUAAAACGAAUCAAUUUUACUUGAGGAGUUGAAUCUGUAAAGUUUUGAGAACAUUGACUAUAUACUCCAACACUGCAGGCCAACUCUUGAUGGAUUUCCAAUGUGCUGUUGGCCUCUGAAUUUUUUCUGUCGUGUAGCCGCUCACCAUCUUAGCGUGUGCUAUUCACGGAAGCUGGCUCCUCCACUCAGGCCCUCCUCUGCAAUGCCGACGAGGACACUACUUCGUCUGAACCAAUCUUCGCGACCACGUGCAGGUAUACACAUGUGCUCCCCUGCCACCCCUGCAUUGAUUUAAGGAGAAAUCCAAUUGGGAGUUAUUGAUAGGCACCAAUGUAUUCUUGGUUCAGUUCCCCUGUCUUGAAUUACGUUGAUUCUUUUGGUAAGAUCAAACUGAACAUCACUUGCCCAAACAAGUUGAACGCCUUGCUACAUUAUUGCCCAAUUCUGUAAAAUUGAUCAUAGAACCCCUGCUAUCAUGUCAUGUUUGCUAAUACUUAUUGAGCUAUAAAAUGAUGUUUUCUGUUUAUAAGCUAGCCCUUCUUAUUAUGUUUGAGAAGAUCGAUAGUACCCAUUAAGUUACUACAGUACACUAUAAUAUGCAGAACCUGAGUUUUGGUUGCCAAGCAAAUGUUUGUGCUAAUUCCCACAAGAAAUUUGUGUUUGAAGAAUUAUUACUUUAUCAGGGAAAUAUCUUUUAUAUGGCUUCAUGAAAUCAAAUAUGACACUAGAUUUGCAGAAUGACUAAGCGACAUAGGAAAUUGAUUUAGCACUACCUCAUUAAACAUGAAGACUUAUUCUUGAUUUUGUGUUGAUGUUUCAGAUGGAAUUUUCUCAUAUGACAUCAGGGAUGUAGGUUGAUUGGGUGAACAAGCUUCCUGUGAAACAUCCAGAUCUCGGUGGCAGUGCUUCCGUUCAGCAUCCCACGCGGCGACGUCCUCCGGCAUAAUGCCAAAUACCGUCAGGGAGAGAGCAGAGCGGGAGGGGUAUUGGGUCCAUACCAUUUUGGGUGUUGCUAGUGCCAUGAUUGUGGGUAAUACCCACAGAAGAUUCUAUUCUUGUGAGCGGAUUAAACAAAGUUGAGUAAACAUCAUCCAUAGGAGAUACAUGUGGUAAUUAAGUUUAGAGGAGAAAGUGGUUCUUUAUUCUUGUAAUUUUGGUGUAGAUGUCAUACAGGGGCAGAGAACAAUGGUCUUUUGGGAAAGCCUGUUAACUUUUUGGAGCUGCCUGGUAAAUUUUGGUACGAAUUUAUGUUAGUUCUACCUUUCCAUGAUGUUUAAUUGCUCGGUUCUUAAGGAUUUGUAAGAGGAGAUGGAUUUUGGACUACUCUAUUUCGGAUGCCAGUAACGCGGAUCUUCAGAUGAAAAAUAAAAGAGUGUGCAUGGUGUUUUUUUCUUACAAA
rnacentral:lncRNA from 1 species